rnacentral:rRNA from 1 species
GACGAACGCUGGCGGCGUGCUUAACACAUGCAAGUCGAACGGAAAGGCCCUGCUUUUGUGGGGUGCUCGAGUGGCGAACGGGUGAGUAACACGUGAGUAACCUGCCCUUGACUUUGGGAUAACUUCAGGAAACUGGGGCUAAUACCGGAUAGGAGCUCCUGCUGCAUGGUGGGGGUUGGAAAGUUUCGGCGGUUGGGGAUGGACUCGCGGCUUAUCAGCUUGUUGGUGGGGUAGUGGUUUACCAAGGCUUUGACGGGUAGCCGGCCUGAGAGGGUGACCGGCCACAUUGGGACUGAGAUACGGCCCAGACUCCUACGGGAGGCAGCAGUGGGGAAUAUUGCACAAUGGGCGGAAGCUUGAUGCAGCAACGCCGCGUGCGGGAUGACGGCCUUCGGGUUGUAAACCGCUUUCGCCUGUGACGAAGCGUGAGUGACGGUAAUGGGUAAAGAAGCACCGGCUAACUACGUG